rnacentral:rRNA from 1 species
CCUACGGGGGGCUGCAGUGGGGAAUAUUGGACAAUGGGGGGAACCCUGAUCCAGCCAUGCCGCGUGUGUGAAGAAGGCCCUCGGGUUGUAAAGCACUUUCAGUGAGGAAGAACGCCUGGUGGUUAAUACCCAUCAGGAAAGACAUCAUUCACAGAAGAAGCACCGGCUAACUCCGUGCCAGCAGCCGCGGUAAUACGGAGGGUGCGAGCGUUAAUCGGAAUUACUGGGCGUAAAGCGCGCGUAGGUGGCUUGAUAAGCCGGUUGUGAAAGCCCCGGGCUCAACCUGGGAACGGCAUCCGGAACUGUCAAGCUAGAGUGCAGGAGAGGAAGGUAGAAUUCCCGGUGUAGCGGUGAAAUGCGUAGAGAUCGGGAGGAAUACCAGUGGCGAAGGCGGCCUUCUGGACUGACACUGACACUGAGGUGCGAAAGCGUGGGUAGCAAACAGGAUUAGAUACCCCUGUAGUC